rnacentral:rRNA from 1 species
GACGAACGCUGGCGGCGUGCCUAAUACAUGCAAGUAGAACGCACAGUUUAUACCGUAGCUUGCUACACCAUAAACUGUGAGUUGCGAACGGGUGAGUAACGCGUAGGUAACCUGCCUGGUAGCGGGGGAUAACUAUUGGAAACGAUAGCUAAUACCGCAUAAUAUUAAUUAUUGCAUGAUAAUUGAUUGAAAGAUGCAAUUGCAUCACUACCAGAUGGACCUGCGUUGUAUUAGCUAGUAGGUGAGGUAACGGCUCACCUAGGCGACGAUACAUAGCCGACCUGGGAGGGUGAACGGCCACACUGGGACUGGGACACGGCCCAGACUCCUACGGGAGGCAGCAGUAGGGAAUCUUCGGCAAUGGACGAAAGUCUGACCGAGCAACGCCGCGUGAGGGAAGAAGGUUUUCGGAUCGUAAAGCUCUGUUGUAAGAGAAGAACGGGUGUGGGAGUGGAAAGUUCACACUGUGACGGUAUCUUACCAGAAAGGGACGGCUAACUACGUG